AACGAUUUUUACCCCUCGACGGGUAAAUAUCAACUUAAAAAUAUGUUCUUAUCAGUUUAAUAUCUGAUACGUCCCCUAUCUGGGGACCAUAUAUUAAAUGGAUUUUUCGAACAGGGAGAUGGAAAAAGAGCUUGCUCUGUCCACUCCACGCAUUGACCUGGUAUUGCAGUACCUCCAGGACCGGUGCACCCUUU